CUAGCUACUGAUGUUGCUACCAGGGUCUUCAACUCUGACCAAGUGUUCUUACCAAAAGGCUGAUCAUCUUAAACAUGUAUAUUUUCUCUGGACAUAAUUUUUCAGCUUUUAUAGUCAAAGACCACCUAAUUAAGUUACCAUUGGUAAAUGGCUUUCCAUGAUUGAUAACAAGCGAGCCACCUAGAAACUUAGUUUGCAGCCUCAUUUAUAUUUUUAAUUCUUGUGAAGAAAUUCUGCUAUAAUGAGAAAUUCCGUUUUUAAUUUCCUAAUUUUUCUGACUAUUGCUUUCCUGUGAGUGUGGAAUAUUGUGAGGCGUGCUUAACCUGGUAAUGUUGACUUAUGCAUUUUUUAGCACAGUUACAGUGUCACUGCCUAAUAAAUAUAAUUCAAUAACAAAACAAACCAUAUUCUACAGUGACUUAAAAGGGCAACAUCUGAAGUUCACUCUUCUUGUUUUGACAUGAAGGAUAUGCACAGGAAAUAUAAAAAAUAAAGUCAGAGUUCCCCUUGUGGCACAGAGGAAAUGAAUCUCACUAGUAACCAAGGUUUCGGGUUUGAUCCCUGGCCUUGCCUAGUGGGUUAAGGAUCUGCUGUUGCUGUGAGCUGUGGUGUAGGUUGCAGACACAGCUCAGAUCCUCCGUUGCUGUGGCUGUGGCAUAGGCUGAAGGCUGUAGCUCUGAUUUAACACCAAGCCUGGGAAACUCCAUAUGCUGUGGGUGCAGCCCUAAAAAGACAACAACAACAACAACAACAACAACAAAAAAGCUAUGGAGAUCUAAGUCUAAAACACACUUUAACUUUUCAAACUAAACAAGAGAGCAUGAUUUUACAUUGUGGUAUUGACCGACUCAAGAUCUUUUUUGGAUAUAAAUUAAGCAACUCCCUAUCCUUAUAUCUUGCUCCUAGGAAAUCAUGGUUUGUAUUUGGCACAGAUACCCAUGGGCCAAGGCCCCCUGGUUGUCACUCUGGUCUUGUUAUCCAUUAGAAUAAUUGCAUCAACCUGUCUUCCUAGAGCCCUGUUGUGGCAAUCAAUGCAGCAAAUCAAUGCAGCAAAUUAAUGCAGCAAAUCCUGCCUUCACUCUGAUAAUUAUAUGCCAUCAACCUGCUUCUGCUACUUCAGACUAGCAUCUCCAUGACACCAGGGAGCCCAGUUUUCCCAGCAGUGUUUCCUCCUUGGCCUUCAACCACAGCCUA
rnacentral:lncRNA from 1 species